GCGCCCGUAGCUCAGCUGGAUAGAGUACUCGCCUACGAAGCGAGGGGUCGCACGUUCAAAUCGUGCCGGGCGCACCA
rnacentral:tRNA from 1 species